GCAUUGGUGGUUUAAUAGUAGUAUUCCCUCCUUCCAUCCAGGAGACCUGGGUUCAAUCCCUGGCCAAUGCA
rnacentral:tRNA from 1 species